rnacentral:RNase_P_RNA from 1 species
GAAGUCGGCCAGACCGCCGCUGGCGCAACCACCCGAAAGGGCGCGCUGGAGGAAGGUCCGGACUGCACAGGGCAGCGUAGCAGCCAACGGCUGUCCACCGCGAGGUGAGGAUCAGAGCAACAGAGACGAGUCGAGCCGGGGCGAAGCCCCGGCUCGGGUGAAACGGGCAAUCUCUACGCGCAGCAACACCAAAUAGGCACACGACGAUCCGGCCCGGGGAGUGUGCGGGUAGGUGGCACCGAGCCGGGUGGGCGACCCCCGGCCCAGAGGAAUGGCGGUCACGGCGGCGUCUCGCAAGAGGUGUCCGCUGCACAGAAUCCGGCCUAUCGGCCGACUUCACAC